rnacentral:rRNA from 1 species
AUUGAACGCUGGCGGCAUGCUUUACACAUGCAAGUCGGACGAGUGGCGAACGGGUGAGUAACGCAUCGGAACGUACAUCGGGAUGGGGGAUAACUGUCAGCAAGGACAGCUAAUACCGCAUAUUCAUCGCACGGCCGAGGUAGGAUUAGCGGGUUGGCGGGGUAAAGGCCCACCAAGGCGACGAUCAGUAGCGGGUCUGAGAGGAUGAUCCGCCACACUGGGAAUGAGACACGGCCCAGACUCCUACGGGAGGCAGCAGUGGGGAAUUUUGGACAAUGGGCGCAAGCCUGAUCCAGCCAUGCCGCGUGUCUGAAGAAGGCCUUCGGGUUGUAAAGGACUUUUGUCAGGGAAGCGGUACCUGAAGAAUAAGCACCGGCUAACUACGUGCCAGCAGCCGCGGUAAUUC